UACGGAGGGGGCUAGCGUUGUUCGGAAUUACUGGGCGUAAAGCGCACGUAGGCGGCUUUGCAAGUUAGAGGUGAAAGCCCGGGGCUCAACUCCGGAAUUGCCUUUAAAACUGCAUCGCUAGAAUUGUGGAGAGGUAAGUGGAAUUCCUGGUGUAGCGGUGAAAUGUGUAGAGAUCGGGAGGAACACCGGUGGCGAAGGCGGGUCUCUGGGCAUCUCCUGACGCUGAGGCGCGAAAGCGUGGGGAGCAAACGGG
rnacentral:rRNA from 1 species